UCCGUAGGUGAACCUGCGGAAGGAUCAUUAAUGAAUGAAUAUAGAGUUCGGGUUGUAGCUGACCUCCCCAGAGGUAUGUGCACGCCCCUUCUCUUUCAUCCACACACCCCCUGUGCACUUGUGAGACGGAGAAGCUCAGUUUCCUUUCAUUUAGGAGACUUUGUAGCUCCGUCUAUCAACACAUAAAAUCUAAUUUAAUUAAAUCUGAAUGUAAUUUGAUGUAACGCAUCUAAUACAAAGUUUCAACAACGGAUCUCUUGGCUCUCGCAUCGAUGAAGAACGCAGCGAAAUGCGAUAAGUAAUGUGAAUUGCAGAAUUCAGUGAAUCAUCGAAUCUUUGAACGCACCUUGCGCUCCUUGGUAUUCCUCGGAGCAUGCCUGUUUGAGUAUCAUGAAAUUCUCAAAGCAAGUCUUUUGUUAAUUCAAUCGGCUUUUGCUUUGGACUUGGAGGUCUGCAGAUUUUAAAACUCUGCUCCUCUUAAAUGCAUUAGCUGGAUCUCCAUGAACUUGGUUCCACUCGGCGUGAUAAGUUAUCACUCGCUGAGGACACCCGUAAAAAAGGUGGCCAGGCUCUAGGAUGAGCCGCUUCUAAUAGUCCAUUAGCUUGGACAAAUUAAAUUUCUGAUCUGAUCUCAAAUCAGGUAGGACUACCCGCUGAACUUAAGCAUAUCAAUAAGCGGAGGA
rnacentral:rRNA from 1 species